AUAGCCGACAUUCGACAAUACCAUUUUGCGUACCCUUUCGAGUAAUUAAACUGCUCAGAUUACGUAUUGUUCAUUACAAAUCCAGCAUUUCUCAGCUGCAAGAUGAGAUCGAUUGGCUCUGCUUGACCUGAAAAGCAGAGUACUCAAAGACCCACUUGGAAUCAUGAGCUCUUGGAAUGAUUCCACGCAUUAUUGUGAUUGGUUUGGUGUUGCCUGCAAUUCCACGGUCAAAAGAGUAGUGGCUUUGAACUUGGAAUGUCGAAAACUGACUGGUUUGAUACCGCCUUCUCUGGGGAAUAUGACUUAUCUCACUGAAAUCAAUUUGGGAGACGACAAUUUUCAAGGCCAUAUUCCCCAGGAGUUUGGUAAGCUACUACAACUGCAACUUCUUAAUUUGUCCUUGAAUGAAUUUAGUGGUUAGAUUCCGGCAAAUAUGAGUUAUUGCACUGGCUUGUGUUUGCUUCAGUUUGGUGGGAAUAGGUUUGAAGGUCAGAUUCCAUAUCAGUUCUUCACUCUAACCAAGUUGGAAUUUCUUGGAUUCGGCAUUAACAAUCUCACUGGAACAAUCCCACCUUGGAUAGCAAAUUUUUCUUCGAUAUUACGUAUGUCAUUCGGGUACAACAAUUUUCAAGGAAACAUUCCAAGUGAAAUAGGACGCCUAUCUAAAUUGAAAAUGUUCCUAGUUGCUUCUAAUAAUUUGACAGUUCCAGUGUGGCCUUCAAUCUGUAAUAUAACUUCUCUAACUUACUUGUCUCUUGCUAACAAUCAAUUGCAAGGAACUCUACCACCAAAUAUCUGAUUUACUCUUCCUAAUCUUCAAGCCUUAGGUGGUGGGGUCAAUAAUUUUCAUGGGCCUGUUCCAAAGUCCUUAGCUAAUAUCUCCGGCCUUCAAAUCUUAGAUUUUCCUGGGAACAACCUUGUUGGAAUGCUACCUGAUGACAUGGGGAGAUUAAAAUACUUGGAGCAUCUAAAUUUUGCAUCUAAUAGACUUGGAAGAGGAAAAGUUGGUGACUUAAAUUUUAUUAGUUCCUUGGCUAAUUGUACAAGCCUAAGGAUAUUGAGUUUGAGUUCGAACCAUUUUGGAGGAGUAUUGCCUUCGUCUAUUGGCGACCUUUCAACCCCGCUGAGAGUCCUAGUUUUAGGUCAAAAUAUGUUAAGUGGAAGCAUUCCUACAGGGAUUGGAAACUUGAUUAACUUACAACGUCUUGCAAUGGAAGUUAACUUUGUGAAUGGCAGUAUUCCUCCCAAUACAGGGAAGCUUAAAAACUUGGAGGUUAUGUACUUGAAUUACAACGAAUUAUCUGGGCCAAUCCCUUCCUCCAUUGCUAACUUAUCUUCACUAACCAAGCUCUACAUGAGUCACAACAAACUUGACGAAAGUAUUCCAGCAGGCUUAGGACAAUGCGAAAGCCUCUUAACUCUUGAGCUAUCUAGUAACAACCUAAGCGGCACCAUACCAAAGGAAAUCCUUAGUCUCUCUUCCCUUUCGAUGUCUUUGGCCUUGGAUCAUAACUCUUUUACUGGUCGAUUGCCACAAGAAGUGGGUUUGUUAGUUCGUUUAUCAGAACUAGAUGUAUCAGAGAACCAAUUAUCAGGUGAUAUUCCUACCAACCUCGACAAAUGUAUUAGCAUGGAACGUUUGUAUCUUGGGGGUAACCAGUUUAAGGGAACAAUUCCUGAAUCUUUGGAAGAUUUGAAAGGAAUAGAAGAAUUGAAUCUCUCUAUCGACAACUUGUCUGGGCAAAUUCCCCAAUUUCUUGGCAGGCUUCGCUCUCUCAAGUAUCUCAAUUUAUCAUAUAAUAAUUUUUAGGGACAAGUGCCUACAGAAGGAGUUUUCUCCAAUUCAACCAUGAUUUCUAUACUUGGGAAUAACAAUCUAUGUGACGGUUUACAAGAAUUACAUUUUCCUCCAUGCAAACAUAAUCGAACACAUUCACCCAAGAAGUUUUUAGCGUCAAGGGUGUUAAUCCCCACAGCGUCUACAGUUGCCUGCCUUGUUAUUUUGGUGGGCAUCAUUUUUGUGUGUUUUGUGCUUAAGAAGUUCACAAAUUUCUUACUUGGAACUCAGUAAAUCAACGGAAGGAUUCUCUAAGGAAAAUUUCAUUGGUUCAGGUAGUUUUGGCUCUGUGUAUAAAGGUAUUCUUUCGAAUAAUGGAUCUAUUGUUGCCAUUAAAGUUCUAAAUCUCCAACAACAAGGUGCUUCCAAGAGUUUUUUGGAUGAAUGCAACGCCCUCUCAAACAUACGACAUUGAAAUCUCCUCAAGAUCAUAACUUCUUGCUCAAGCAUUGAUGUACAAGGGAAUAAAUUUAAAGCUCUAGUCUUUAAUUUCAUGUCCAAUGGAAAUCUUGAUUGUUUGCUUCAUCCCCCAAAUGAACAGAACAAUCAAAGAAGGUUAAAUCUCAUCCAAAGAUUGAACAUUGCUAUUGACAUUGCAUGUGGAUUUGACUAUCUCCAUAAUCAUUGUGAACCUCCAAUUGCUCAGUGUGAUCUAAAGCCUAGCAAUAUAUUGCUCGACGAUGAUAUGGUAGCUCAUGUAGGAGACUUUAGGUUAGCUAGAUUCAUGUUGGAAGAAUCAAAUGAUCAAAUAUUUUUUAGCCAAACCAUGUCACUUGCACUCAAGGGUUCGAUCGGAUAUAUCCUACCAGAAUACGGCGCAGGUGGAAGAAUUUCCACUGAAUGGGAUGUUUGCAGUUACAAAAUACUACUAUUAGAGAUGAUCAUUGGAAAAAGACCUAUCGAUGAGACGUUUUGCAAUAGUGUGGAUAUUCAUUUGGUUACCGAAAUGGCCUUGUCUCAAGGGGUCAUGAAUAUAGUUGACCCUUCUCUGCUAUAUGAAGAAAUAGCCGAAACAGGUUAAGAAGAAACGAAUGAAGAUAGAAUACAAGAAACAGCAAUGAUGAGUGAGGAUAUUGUUGAGGGCAUCUAGAGAGAAAGUCACAAUCUUGAGAAUCGGCUUCUCAUGCUCGUUGAGGACACUUAGAGAGAGAAAGUCGAUAGAUAUCGUCAUUAAUGAAUUACAAGCAAUUAAACGCUCCUAUCUCAAAUUUAAGAAAGGAUAUGGAAGUUCCCGUAGAAAUUUGUUUCUCCAAGCUUGAGAAACAAGUGAGUGAGUUUUUCCACCAACGAUAGGUUCCGUUGGAAAAUCCACUUCUCAAACAAACCUUGUCGACUGUUUCCAAUAGAUGGUGCAUUGUCUCAAUUAUAAUAUAAGAUAACCUUUUUCCAUUUGAUCUCAAUUAAUGAGAUUAUUUCUUAGAAUCUCAAGCAUUUGUUACAGCUACCAAGAUAAACCAAAUGCAAGGCUAUCUUUAGAACAGUUCAAAGUUUAAUACCAUGAUUUACAUGUAUGAUUACUUAUGGUUAAAUAUCUUUGAUAAGCUAUUGAAUGAACGAGUGAUGUA